CCAGGCUGAGGAAAUAAGACAUAAACACUAGUGUAAGUAUUCAGGAAGGGAGAUACAUUCCAGUCCCGGGAACAACAGUUCACUUCGUUGAAAAUACCAUCAGCCAUCAGAUAACUCUUAUGCGCCCGCCCAACGUACUGUACAUAGGAGACCCUGCUACGAUAAUAAAUAUCAUUAGUGUAAUAUCGGGAGCUGAUGCACAGGUCAUGCAAAUUUCCCAGCGAGCAGUUUUUCUUGGAGGGGAAAAUACAGAUCUACAGAGCCUGGCUCGUUGAGCUCAUUCAAUCUCUCUUACUGAAAACUAGACAAAGACUGACAGAAUCUCGAUCUGGAUAGAAGGCGUCAUGCCAAUGGUUUUACCAUCAAACCCAGAAUGUAUGACAAGCUGUUGUAUUAACAAAAUACAACGCAUAGUCGCCAGCUGCCAACUGUGGCAAUGUUGAAACUAGAGCAAUUAAUGGAUGAAGUGUGGAGGUUGGACGGAUUUGUUAAUUCGAUGCAGUACACACUGCUUCAUGGAGGCUCCCCUAUACUUCCUAUUGAGGACUAGCGUACUUUGCUUCCAAAACUGAC
rnacentral:sRNA from 1 species